rnacentral:rRNA from 1 species
UAGGGAAUCUUCGGCAAUGGGGGCAACCCUGACCGAGCAACGCCGCGUGAGUGAAGAAGGUUUUCGGAUCGUAAAGCUCUGUUGUAAGAGAAGAACGUGUGUGAGAGUGGAAAGUUCACACAGUGACGGUAACUUACCAGAAAGGGACGGCUAACUACGUGCCAGCAGCCGCGGUAAUACGUAGGUCCCGAGCUUUGUCCGGAUUUAUUGGGCGUAAAGCGAGCGCAGGCGGUUUAAUAAGUCUGAAGUUAAAGGCAGUGGCUUAACCAUUGUUCGCUUUGGAAACUGGUAAACUUGAGUGCAGAAGGGGAGAGUGGAAUUCCAUGUGUAGCGGUGAAAUGCGUAGAUAUAUGGAAGAACACCGGUGGCGAAAGCGGCUCUCUGGUCUGUAACUGACGCUGAGGCUCGAAAGCGUGGGGAGCAAACAGG